rnacentral:rRNA from 1 species
AAUAGAUACCCUGGUAGUCCACGCCGUAAACUAUGAUUACUCGAUGUCGGCGAUAUACUGUCGGUGUCCAAGCGAAAGUGAUAAGUAAUCCACCUGGGGAGUACGAUCGCAAGGUUGAAACUCAAAGGAAUUGACGGGGGCCCGCACAAGCGGUGGAGCAUGUGGUUUAAUUCGAUGAUACGCGAGGAACCUUACCUGGGCUUGAAUGCAUUAUGACCGUCCCGGAAACGGGACUUUCUUCGGACAGAAUGCAAGGUGCUGCAUGGUUGUCGUCAGCUCGUGCUGUGAGGUGUCGGGUUAAGUCCCAUAACGAGCGCAACCCCUAUUCUUAGUUGCCAGCGGGUAAUGCCGGGGACUCUAAGAAAACUGCCCGCGUAAGCGGUGAGGAAGGUGGGGAUGACGUCAAAUCAUCACGGCCCUUACGUCCAGGGCUACACACGUGCUACAAUGGUCAGUCAAAGGGCAGCUACCUGGUGACAGGAUGCUAAUCUCGAAAACUGAUCUCAGUUCGGAUCGAAGUCUGC